GGCCUGAUGGUCUAGUAGCAUGAUUCUCCCUUCGGGAUAUCCCCUCGUAGAUACGAGAAAUUUGGGAGAGGUCCCGGGUUCAAUUCCCGGUCAGGCCC